rnacentral:rRNA from 1 species
GAAUCCCGUCUUUGACACGGACUGCCUGUACAUUAUGGUGUGCUCUCGAAGAGUCGAGUUGCUUGGGAAUGCAGCUCAAAAUGGGUGGUAAAUGCCAUCUAAAGCUAAAUAUUGGCGAGAGACCGAUAGCGAACAAGUACCGUGAGGGAAAGAUGAAAAGAACUUUGGAAAGAGAGUUAAACAGUACGUGAAAUUGCUGAAAGGGAAACGCUUGAAGUCAGUCGCGUUGGCUAGAAAUCAACCUUGCUUUUGCUUUGUGUACUUUCUGGUUGACGGGUCAGCAUCAAUUUUGACCACUGGAUAAAGUCUUUGGGAAUGUGGCAUCUUCGGAUGUGUUAUAGCCCAUUGUCGCAUACGGUGGUUGGGAUUGAGGAACUCAGCACGCCGCAAGGCCGGGUUUCGACCACGUUCGUGCUUAGGAUGCUGGCAUAAUGGCUUUAAUCGACCCGUCUUGAAACACGGACCAAGGAGUCUAACAUGCCUGCGAGUGUUUGGGUGGAAAAACCCAUGCGCGCAAUGAAAGUGAAAGUUGAGAUCCUCUUCAAACCGGGAGCAUUGACGCCCGGACCAGAGCUUCUGUGACGGAUCCGCGGUAGAGCAUGCAUGUUGGGACCCGAAAGAUGGUGAACUAUGCCUGAAUAGGGUGAAGCCAGAGGAAACUCUGGUGGAGGCUCGUAGCGAUUCUGACGUGCAAAUCGAUCGUCAAAUUUGGGUAUAGGGGCGAAAGACUAAUCGAACCAUCUAGUAGCUGGUCCCUGCC